rnacentral:lncRNA from 1 species
GUGUUGUGGCUGCUUCUUCAAGACCCAGGGAACAGCAGAGCUGUCCUUACUUGCCAGCUGUGCGAAGAAGGCUGACUGAUGUUACGAAGAACAGAUACUGUAAAGGAGAGCACGCUAUAGGCCACAGAUAUCCCGAAUCAUUGAUGGCAAAAUGUGAUGUUUGAUGGCAGCUUCACUGGAUAGUAAACGAUUACCCCAGACUCCAGGGAUUGCACAAGUGAGGAUGGAUCUCGACAGGUUGCUUGAAAUGAUAAUGCUUUGCUGGAGACAGCCACCUGGCUUUUGAGGAGCUGGAUUAAGACUCCCAAAUCAACUCCUGCCAGCUGUGAAGGAGAAACAUCACUUGGAUAUGGUCUGUUCUCUUAUCUCUCCCCCUGCUCAUGAAUGGGGACUGACUGGGGACUGGUGCCUUAGAGGACAGGAUCUGCAUCUCCCAGGGUACUAGUCAUUGGGCUGGAAGAAGCAGAUGCUUCUAAAUCUAGCUGUCCAGCUUGCCAGAACAUGAUGCAUCUUACAGCAGACUAUGGCCUCUUACAUCCUUAAACCCAGCUGGAAGACAACACAACCUACUUCCCGGAUUGAAGCAAAGGGCAAAAUACAUUUUGGGAGAUCUUUGCUGAAACCAAAGGAGCCACAUGUUUAUGAUUUCCUGUUUAAGACUGAGGUUCCUUACAAGCAGGCAUCAGUGCAGGCACCCUUAUCCAUCAGAGAUGGCAGCGCAGCCUUUAAAAGGAGCGGGAAACAGAUGACCUGCUGA